UCCCCAACAAUAUCCUGAUGCUGAGUGAGCGGCACAUAGAGACUCCAGCAUCAGUGAUUUUGUUGAAGA
rfam:Sarcophilus harrisii ctg7180002464092, whole genome shotgun sequence.